GGGGCUGUAGCUCAGCUGGGAGAGCACCUGCUUUGCAAGCAGGGGGUCGGCGGUUCGAUCCCGCUCAGCUCCACCA
rnacentral:tRNA from 2 species